UACAUCUGUGAUUCAGACCAUCAGACUUAUGUGUCUCUGAUCAUCUCUAAUGUCAUGAAGGAGGAAAAUUACACAGCUGCAGUGAUGACAGACUGUGGUACAGCUUUAUCAUCUCCUAUCAACGUACAAGUUAAACACUCCGGUAACACCCAUCCUGGUAAAAGUCUGGACCCUGAGCUGGACCCUGAGCUGGACCCUGAGCUGUGAUGGACUCCAUGAUUCCCAUCAUAUGGAGCGUUUGUGUCGUCAUCAUUGUUGUCAGCAUCUUGUGUUUCCUGUUUGGGACUGACAGAGGAAGAGAGAUCAUCAAGGGGGAAAGGAAUCAACGAUUCUUAAGUGACACAGACUCUAAACUGACUUUUAAUCUCUGAGGUCUUUGUACAGACUGAGCCAUGUGAAUGUAAUGAUUUGUAUUUGUACAUAUUGAUCAGUGUAAAUCUGAUGAUUUGAUCAGCGGGUCACAGAGGUCUGAUAAACUCACUUCUGUCUCACUCUAACUUCUGUCCUUCAGCACCAGCAGAUUUACUCCACACAGCUCCCUCUGGAGUCAGCUGUCAUCACUGCAGAGGAACUCUCCCAGACUGUAAUCAGACUGAUGUGUGGAGUUCCUCUUUAAGUCUGAAAAAAUCCCAUGAAGUCAGUGUGGGUUCACAGAGUUCAAACAAUGAGAAUGUAACAGCUGUUCCUCUGAAUCAGGCAGGGAAGUCUUUAUCUAAGGACGGCUGCACUGAUUUUUUUAAUGUGGACCUUAUUACUGUACAGCACAAAGCCGUUCACGUCAUGUAAUUAAUUCCAGAAUAAGCAGGAGUGAGGAGUGAAUGUGACGUGCUGUGAAAGGAGAGACUGAUGUAACAUGAUGCACAGACUUUAUGUGUCACUUGUUAACUCAGCUACUGUACAUGAAACAGAAAUGAGUGAUGGAACAUCUUUUCAAAUAAACUCCUGUCAGUGACAAGCACUUCCUCAUCUUUGAUGUAAUGCACAGCACACACUCACCCACACACAGUAACGAGACCCGGAGCCACAUUUCCUCUGUACACCACACGGCUCUUUUUAAGCACUGCCGUGACAGUUAGUCUGUCAGUCAGGCUGCUGCGUCUGUGCUAGCCUCCCUGCAGCCCAUCUCGCGGGAUGGAAGCCCGUUGGUGGAGCUGUGUGUUGGGAUUACUCUGCAUGCCUGCUGAGGUUUUACUGCACACCUGGACAGUUUCUCAAAACCC